rnacentral:rRNA from 1 species
UACGUAGGGCGCAAGCGUUAUCCGGAAUUAUUGGGCGUAAAGAGCUCGUAGGCGGUUUGUCGCGUCUGCCGUGAAAGUCCGGGGCUCAACUCCGGAUCUGCGGUGGGUACGGGCAGACUAGAGUGAUGUAGGGGAGACUGGAAUUCCUGGUGUAGCGGUGAAAUGCGCAGAUAUCAGGAGGAACACCGAUGGCGAAGGCGGCACUCUGGGCUGGUACUGACGCUGAGGAGCGAAAGCGUGGGUAGCAAACAGG